rnacentral:rRNA from 1 species
GUGUCAGCAGCCGCGGUAAUACGGAGGGUGCAAGCGUUGUCCGGAAUCACUGGGUGUAAAGGGUGUGUAGGCGGGGCUGUAAGUCAGAGGUGAAAUCCCACGGCUCAACCGUGGAAAUGCCUUUGAUACUGCUGCUCUUGAGUCCCGGCGAGGUGGCUGGAAUUCGUGGUGUAGCGGUGAAAUGCGUAGAUAUCACGCGGAACACCAGAGGUGUAGACGGGUCACUGGACGGGUACUGACGCUGAGGCACGAAAGCGGUGGGAGCAGACAGGAUUAGAUACCCUGGUAGUCCACGCCGUAAACGAUGGAUGCUCGGUGUUGCCCCGCCUUUAGGGGCAGUGCCUAAGCUAACGCGUUAAGCAUCCCACCUGGGGAGUACGCUCGCAAGAGUGAAACUUAAAGGAAUUGACGGGG